ensembl:lncRNA
GCAUAUUUUUUUGAAUAUAGAAAAAGAAGGCCCCUUGAAAACUUUGGCCGCCAUUAGGAAAAAUGAGGUCACUCCCGAUGAUCUAGACUCCAUGAUGAAAAAUAUAGGAGUUCCAUUACCCCAAGAUGCGAUUCAAAGAUCCCUGAAGAAUGUGGCUAUCACGGGAAGUAAGGUUGAUGACAGCAACUUAGACACUUUUCUAGGAAACAUGAAGAUGGAGAUGUCAGCUGAUGGAACAGUUGAACUUAAUAAACUAAUGAAUAAAGCUGAAGCUGUUACAGGAGAGACAGUAGCUGUCAGAGACCUGGAUGAGACACUAGGGAACAUGGGCUUUGAACUCACCAAAGAAGAUUCUGGAGAGAUGAAAAGAAAACUUCCACUUUAUGGAGGAGAAGUUGACCUCAGUGACCUGGAAAAUGUCUUGCAAAAUAUGGGGAUAGAGUCCUCACCAGAGCAUUCGGAGCUAAAGAAAUUACUUCCAAUUAAUGCUACAGCUAGUAGAAAAAUAUAUAAGACUAGUUUGCUGAAUUGUGCAGAAGAUGUAAAAGAUGAUGACCAUGACCUUGACUCUAUUCUUGAAAACAUGGCAAUCAAACUUACAGCUGAAGAACUUAAUGAUGUACCAGUUGCUUCAGAUGCUUCAGAUGUACCAGUUGAUGGCAUGGAUCAUCAUAUCCUUGGACCAGACUUCACGAUUCAAGGAGAGAUUAUUGAUGUCGAUAAAAUGGAUUCUCCUUUGCAAACUAUGGGGAUGAACCUUUCAGAAGAGGAAAUUAAUGAUCUGACACGUGAUCUACCAGCCGAUGGUGAGUAUUUAAGAUA